CGGGAGAAAAGGCCGCCCGAGGGGAAGUCACUCCCGUGAGGGCACGGCUGUUGCAAGGGAAUGAAUCCAGCGCAACUGGCAGCGCAACUGUGGCAGCUGGCGACAAACAGCGCCCAGCUUAGGCGAGGGCACCAAAACGCAGAGCCCAAGGCCGACGGUGAAAAACUGGCCAUGGGUUAAUUUAUUUAGGCCUUCGAAAAUUGGUUCCAAGCACCCAGCCAAACAAGGUGACCAAAAUGCAGAGCCCAAGGCCAAAGAUGCAUCAACUCUGCAAUAUUCUGACUGAGUAGCAUUCUGAAGAAUGUUGUCAGAAUUUCCAAAGAGCAAAAGCAGAACCAAAGAUUCCCAUCAAACUAACAGAAGAUAAGAGGUUUUCUAUAAAGGAAAAUUUGGAUAUGAAUACAGUGAUGAAUCUGGCAGAGAGUACUGUGAGCUUUAUUUUUCGUUCUCCUGUAACAUCCUGAAAAAUUGUUCUGCAGUACAGCUUUCUAGAGAACAGAAGCACACUGUUGAAGCAUUCUUUUUCCUUCAUGACUGUAUUUUAUAUCAUUACAAUCCAACUCUGAGUAAUAAUAAAUGAAUCUCCUAAGGUUUCUCUAA